UAGGCUGGCCUUCGUGUCAUUCACCUCCCGUAGGGGUUUAUGAUUUUCUGAAGCGUCCGGGGCCCGCGAUUGGCGGGUGAGGAAACCUUUGGUUGGGAACAGUUGCUCUGCGCCCCGCAGUGCGGACCCCUCAGGGCUGACUUGGGGGGGCUUCCUAGCGCAGUGUCCAGGCCAGAAUUACUGGUAUAGUAACCUGGAGAUAAGGCCUUCGCCUCUGGAAAAAGCUCAGGAGUCGGUGCUUCUGAAUUCAGGUUUUUGCAUUCUUUUUUUUUUUUUAUGAAAUGGAAAAAUGACUGACAGUUUGAGGAGCAAACAGGACGACGCAGGUUCCUAGCCCUCAGGCAAGCAGCCAUAUCUCCUCGGCGAUAGAGAGGCCUCGAGAUUUUUCUCCUAAACAGCCAGGCCGUCGUCCCUCCGGGUCCCGUCUGACUGGAGAUGCCGGAACCUGAGGGUGCGCGCGCUUCCGGUGGCCCAUUCAGGGGAGCCCGCCAGCUGGGUGCACCGCAAACAAGAUUGAAGCUCAUUUGAUAGUCAAAAUAGGAUCUCCAAGCACAGUUAUGGAGUUUCUUCCAUGUACCAGUUUCACGAAUGAAUGACAACAUCAGUUGAAACUGGAACCUCAUUUGGUAUAUUGAUUGUCUUCACCAACUACACACACACACACACACACACACAUACACACCCAUAGCCAUUUAUUUUCAUUACCGGCUGAAGAAAUUAACUGGCAAACUACCAAAGGGAGUAUAUGUCACUAAGUGAAGUUCCUGAAAUGCAGCUCUUUUUUUUUUUUUUCAUUGCACAACAUUAGACAGGUCAGGACUGUUCCAGAAGGUACAGACACCAUUCAGUACAAAGUACAAAGCAGGGACAAGUUUGAGGACGAGAAGGAACUAUUGAACAAAGGACCUGUUUUUGCUUCUGAAAUUCCCAGGUGGAAUUAGUUUGAUGUUGAAUGCUGUUGGUGAAAAGGCUGGUCCAGUGUGAAAACAGACUUAGAGAUAGAGGUGUAAAUAAAGUCCUGAGAAGAACCAGGCUCAGUGAGCAAAGUUCUCCCAGCUGGCCCUUGCCAGUUUGGCUCAGUGGAUAGAGCUUUGGCCUGUGGACUGA